AUCCAUCGUACUGGUGAUAUCGCAACCAAUGAGGUACAACCGAGGUGCGAUUAUUGCUAGUUGAAAAUUAAAAUAUCCACAAAUAUAUUUUUAUGAAGGUGGUAUUAGACUUCGCAAAACUAACUUUUUGAAAUCACAAGAAA